rnacentral:misc_RNA from 1 species
GAUGAAGAACGUAGCGAAAUGCGAUAAGUAAUGUGAAUUGCAGACUUCAGUGAAUCAUCGAAUCUUUGAACGCACAUUGCGCCCGCCAGUAUUCUGGCGGGCAUGCCUGUUCGAGCGUCAUUUCAACCAUCAAGCCCCCGGCUUGUGUUGGGGACCUGCGGCUGCCGCAGGCCCUGAAAACCAGUGGCGGGCUCGCUAGUCACUCCGAGCGUAGUAAUACAUCUCGCUCAGGGCGUGCUGCGGGUUCCGGCCGUUAAAAAGCCUUAUUUACCCAAGGUUGACCUCGGAUCAGGUAGGAAGACCCGCUGAACUUAAGCAUAUCAAUAAGCGGAGGA